CAAAGGUUAAUUCCGGUGGCGGAUGGGCAUGCGUCGCAUUAGUUAGUUGGCGGUGUAACGGACCACCAAGACGACGAUGCGUAGGGGUUCUGAGAGGAAGGUCCCCCACACUGGUACUGAGACACGGACCAGACUCCUACGGGAGGCAGCAGUGAGGAAUAUUGGUCAAUGGGCGGGAGCCUGAACCAGCCAAGUCGCGUGAGGGAUGACGGCCCUAUGGGUUGUAAACCUCUUUUGCCGGGGAGCAAAGUGCCGCACGUGUGCGGUUUGGAGAGUACCCGGAGAAAAAGCAUCGGCUAACUCCGUGCCAGCAGCCGCGGUAAUACGGAGGAUGCGAGCGUUAUCCGGAUUUAUUGGGUUUAAAGGGUGCGUAGGCGGACGCUUAAGUCAGCGGUAAAAUUGCGGGGCUCAACCUCGUCGAGCCGUUGAAACUGGGUGCCUUGAGUGGGCGAGAAGUACGCGGAAUGCGUGGUGUAGCGGUGAAAUGCAUAGAUAUCACGCAGAACUCCGAUUGCGAAGGCAGCGUACCGGCGCCCAACUGACGCUGAAGCACGAAGGCGUGGGUAUCGAACAGGAUUAGAUACCCUGGUAGUCCACGCAGUAAACGAUGAAUGCUAGUUGUCCGGGGCGAUUGAGUUCUGG
rnacentral:rRNA from 1 species